GCAGCCAGUAUUUCCCAGUAGCCGCGUGGACUGUACUAGUGAAGCAGGCUACAGUGAUUGAGUGUGUAGGGAGUGAAGGGAACAGUGAAUGAAUUGAGUGUUUCGGACACAGCCAUGAUAGUAGACGUAGAUCAACAACUUCCUGAUUCAGUAGUCACGAUCGGGUUCUUUGGGCUUUUCGUAGGAGGACAAACAAAAAUGAGAAAAGUCGAUUUUUGCGUGGCUUAAUUUCUGUAUAAACUUAAGGAAAACUUCCCCAUAGUUGUACUAUAUCUGGAAGCGUUAAAAUUCGCAAAAUAAAGUCGAUUUUUCACGAUGACGGACCCUUACGAUUCAGAUACAGAGGAGAGAAUUAUGACACUUCAGGGUCCUUUUUCGAAAACUUCGGAGGAGUGGCUAGAAUAUGGCUCACAUGGUGAAAUCCAGGUCAGAGCUCUGGGCCGAGGGCGAAACAUAGAG